UACGUAGGGGGCAAGCGUUGUCCGGAUUUAUUGGGCGUAAAGAGCGUGUAGGCGGCCAGGUAGGUCGGUUGUGAAAACUCGAGGCUCAACCUCGAGAUGUCGACCGAAACCAUCUGGCUAGAGUCCGGAAGAGGAGAAUGGAAUUCCCGGUGUAGCGGUGAAAUGCGUAGAUAUUGGGAGGAACACCAGUGGCGAAGGCGGCUCACUGGACCGGAACUGACGCUGAGGCGCGAAAGCGUGGGGAGCAAACGGG
rnacentral:rRNA from 1 species